rnacentral:rRNA from 1 species
AUUGAACGCUGGCGGCAUGCCUUACACAUGCAAGUCGAACGGUAACAGGUCUUCGGAUGCUGACGAGUGGCGAACGGGUGAGUAAUACAUCGGAACGUGCCCGAUCGUGGGGGAUAACGAAGCGAAAGCUUUGCUAAUACCGCAUACGAUCUACGGAUGAAAGCAGGGGACCGCAAGGCCUUGCGCGAACGGAGCGGCCGAUGGCAGAUUAGGGAGUUGGUGGGAUAAAAGCUUACUAAGCCGACGGUCUGUAGCUGGUCUGAGAGGACGACCAGCCACACUGGGACUGAGACACGGCCCAGACUCCUACGGGAGGCAGCAGUGGGGAAUUUUGGACAAUGGGCGAAAGCCUGAUCCAGCCAUGCCGCGUGCAGGAUGAAGGCCUUCGGGUUGUAAACUGCUUUUGUACGGAACGAAAAGACUCUGGUUAAUACCUGGGGUCCAUGACGGUACCGUAAGAAUAAGCACCGGCUAACUACGUGCCAGCCGCCGCAGUAACAC